AGCAGCCGCGGUAAUUCCAGCUCCAAUAGCGUAUAUUAAAGUUGUUGCAGUUAAAAAGCUCGUAGUUGAAUUUCGGGAUUGGCGCAUCGGUCGUGCCUCACGGGGUAUGAACUGGUGCAGUCAAUUUCUCACCUUCUGGAGAACCGCGAUGUCCUUAAUUGGAUGCCGCGGGGAACCAGGACCUUUACUUUGAAAAAUCAGAGUGUUUAAAGCAGGCAUUUUUGCUUGAAUACAUUAGCAUGGAAUAAUAAAAUAGGACGGCAUGGUUCUAUUUUGUUGGUUUCUAGGACCACCGUAAUGAUUAAUAGGGAUAGUUGGGGGCAUUAGUAUUCAAUUGUCAGAGGUGAAAUUCUUGGAUUUAUUGAAGACUAACUACUGCGAAAGCAUUUGCCAAGGAUGUUUUCAUUAAUCAAGAACGAAAGUUAGGGGAUCGAAGACGAUCAGACACCGUCGUAGUCUUAACCAUAAACUAUGCCGACUAGGAAUCAGACGAUGUUAAUUUUUAAUGUACUCGUUUGGC
rnacentral:misc_RNA from 1 species